rnacentral:tmRNA from 1 species
GGGGAUGCACGGAUUCGAUAGGACACAUUCCGCCGACGAGCGUGUCGAGGGCGGCGCCCCCUCGUUAAUCCAGCGCUAAACCAAACGUGCAAACGUUUACCAGAAGGUAAAGAACGUGUUGGCUAACGCCUUCCGCGUUCCGUCCUUCGCCAUGGCGGUCGCCUAAGCGCGCCUGCCCGCCCCCGGACCGCAGUGUCUGCCUGCGCCGGUUCAGGCGUCAUAUCGCAGGUCGCCGCCGUCACUGCUCCACGAUGGCGCGCGUAAUUCGGAGCUUACGCCCGCGGCCUCUCGUACCCUCUGACCGCGAGCGAACAGCCGAGGGUAUCUGCGCACGGAGAACGUCGCCGGUUCCGUAUCCUAGACGCGGGUUCAACUCCCGCCAUCUCCACUU